GUUAAGACGUCCUAAACUAAGAAUUUGGGUUAAGUCAAACGUAAAAACUCCUCGUUGUACUCUGCCUACCUUCCUCUAUCCUCUCACGUGCAAAAUCAGAAUUAUCACUUCUUCAGCAGAGCAGCCGCCAAUUUGAUCAUCCUUCUGGCCUCCGGUCUCGUCUGUGUCCGUCUCUAGUCACGCCGUUACAGAUUUCUUUACCGUUGCCGUUAUUGAUUCCGUUACCGUUUUCGUUACCGUCUCUCGGAGGUGCCAAUUACGAAUUAUCAUUUUUUUUAAGUAUGAGUUUAUUUAUUUUUUAAAACUAAACUCAAACUGAUUGAAAGGGGAAAACAAUGAAAUCUGGAUUUGUUUAGGGUUUCUCUUCUUUUAAAUUUGUAGGUUUUCUUUCACUUCAAUUUAGUUUAAUUUAGAACAAUAUAUAUCUGUUUUUCUUAGUUAUUAAAAAUUAAUUAUAUAUAUUAAAAAAAAAAAACUUAAGUUUUAUAUUUUUGAUAAGAUAUUGACAAAUUUCUGUUAUCAUUAUUUUUUUUGUGAUUUUUGUUACGUUUUCUUCUUUUUUUUGUCUCUUCAGAAAUGUUUAAUAUUUGAGUUUGUCAAGCUGAUCGUGUUUUCUCUUUUGUGGGUGGGAGCUGUCUUUUAAUUGAACUUUAUGUUAACUGAUUGAUAAAAUUUAUUCCACAUCUAAGUCAGCAAUCAAUAUUGGAUUAGUUUUUGAGAUGUAAAUGUUAUAGAUCUGCAGUUUGAAUUGAUAUGGGUAUUGGGAUUAUUGAUGUAGCUGAUGGGAAUAUGAGGAUUCGUGCCUCGACGGAUAAUGGGGAAACUGGGAUGGGUGAGGGUGGAGAGAGGAAUCCGAAUGAUGAAUAUGCUCUCCAGGAUGAAGUUACAGUGUUAGAGCCUCAUGUGGGUAUGGAGUUUGAAUUGGAAUCCGCUGCCAAGGCAUUCUAUGAAGAGUAUGCUAGGCAAACGGGUUUCAACACGAAAGUCAGUCAGACUGGUCGUUUUAGACAUGGUAGUGGUGCCAUAUCUAGACAAUUUGUAUGUACGAAACUGGGGUCGAAAAGGAAGUCUAAUGAUGUUUGUGAAGCCAUGAUGAGGAUUGAGUUGAAGGGUAACAAGUGGGUUGUGAUGAAAUUUGUCAAGAAGCAUAACCAUGUAUUAGGGAGUCUUAAUAAGGUGCAUAGUAUUCGACCACACAGACAUUUUGCUGGAGCCAUGACGGAUGUUACUGAAGCUUACCGAGCAGGUGUUGUAGUGCCUAAUGGUGUUAUGUAUGGGAGUAUGAAUGGAAAUCAUGCAAGUCAAACAGUUUCUCCUUUAGACUCAAUCCGCCAUAUCAAAAACCCAAGCUGUAUAAAUUAUGCCAUCAAACCGGCUAUACCAAAGAGGACAUGGGGAAAAGAUGCUCAAAAUAUGUUGGACUACUUCAAGAAAAUGCAGGCUGAGAAUCCUGGUUUCUUUUAUGCUAUACAACUCGAUGAAGAUAAUCGUAUGGCUAAUGCAUUUUGGGCAGAUGCAAGGUCAAGGACAGCUUAUAGUCAUUUUGGUGAUGUAGUUACUUUAGACACUUCAUACAUAGUGAAUCAGUAUAAAGUGCCGAUUGCUCCCUUCACUGGAGUGAACCAUCAUGGCCAAACUAUUUUGUUUGGUUGUGCAUUGCUUCUAGAUGAUUCUGAGGCUUCCUUUGUUUGGUUGCUAAAUACAUUUUUGACUGCUAUGAGUGAUCACUCUCCUGAGUCUAUCGUCACUGAUCAGGGUAGAGCCAUACAGGCUGCAGUGAGAACGGUGUUGCCAAGGGCCAGACACUGUAUAAGCAAAUGGCAUGUCCUCAGAGAAGGCCAGGAUAAGAUGGCUCAUGUUUGCCUUAGAUAUCCAAAUUUUCAGGUUGAGUUGUACAAUUGUAUUAAUUUAACUGAAACAAUAGACGAGUUUGAAUCAUCUUGGGCUACAAUUAUUGAUAAGUUUGACUUGAGGAGGAAUGAUUGGCUUCAGUCACUUUAUAAUUCUAGACGACAAUGGGUGCCGGUAUAUUUUCGAGAUUCCUUCUUCGCUGUAGUAUCGCCCAAUCAAGGAGCUGAGUGUUCUUUUUUUGACGGUUUUGUGAAUGAACAUACAACCUUGCCUAUGUUUUUCAGACAGUAUGAAAGAGCUAUGGAGUACUGGUAUGAAAAGGAAUUGGAAGCUGAUUUUGAUACAGUCUCGAAUACACCAGUUUUAAGGACACCAUCGCCUAUGGAGAAGCAGGCUGCUGAUCUCUACACCAGGAAAAUCUUUGCGAAGUUUCAGGAUGAGUUAGUAGAGACUUUUGUAUAUACUGCAAAUAGGAUUGAUGGCAAUGGUGCUACGAGCACAUACAGGGUUGCUAAAUUUGAAGAUGACAAUAAAGAAUACACAGUAACUCUAAACAUAUCUGAUAUAAGAGCAAACUGUAGCUGUCUGAUGUUUGAAUAUUCAGGAAUUCUUUGUAAACAUAUAUUAACAGUAUUUACAGUGACAAAUGUUUUGACCUUGCCUUCACACUACAUCUUGAGGCGUUGGACCCAAAAUGCCAAGAGUGUGGUUGCAUUGGAUGAGCCUAGUGCUGAUCAUGCACAGGAAUCAAUCCCAUCAAGGUAUAAACUUCUAUGCCGAAAAGCAAUUAGAUAUGCAAUAGAAGGAGCAACAUCAUCAGAGACCUAUAUCACAGCUAUAACUGGUCUGAUUGAAGGGGGGAAGAAGAUUGCUACUGUGAAGAAAAAUGUUGCCAAAAUUGCUCCUCAGACCCCUCAACUAUCUGCUUCUAGAAGUGGUGAUAAGAAAAACUCUGCUGCUGAUACUCGUUUGUUAUGGCCGAGACAAGAUGAAGUUGCCAGGAGGUUUAACCUCAAUGACUCUUCCAUCCUACCUCAUCUUGUCAGUGAUAUGAAUCUUGUACGCAUGGAACCCACUUACCUUAAACGAGAUGAUGUGCCCUUUGACAACAUGGUUGUACUUCCUUGUCUAAAGUCAAUGACAUGGGUCAUGGAGAAUAAAAAUUCCACACCAGAAAAUAGACUAGCUAUAAUCAAUUUAAAGUUGCAAGAUUACAGCAAGAGCCCUGCAGUAGAGUCAGAAGUUAAGUUUCAGCUGUCGAGGGUCACUUUGGAACCUAUGAUUAGAUCUAUGGCCAACAUUAGUGAACAGCUGUCCACCCCAGCUAAUCGGGUUGCUGUAAUCAAUUUAAAGCUCCAAGACACCGAGACAAUUUCUGGGGAGUCGGAGGUGAAGUUUCAAGUUUCCAGGGACACAUUGGGUGCCAUGUUGAGAUCAAUGGCUUAUAUCCGUGAACAGUUAUCUGUUGUGGUCAUCUCAAAGGUUUGGCCACGUCAUCUCAUGUCUGAACAUAGAUAAGAAUGGUGGUUGUCGUCAUGAUUGCGGUGAUGGUUGUGAUGUUGCAGAUGCGGCACCUCCUGAUGGAUUCAACAGAACAGACGUCAAAAAAGCAGCGAAAAUAGCUGCUUUAGAGUCUUGUAAUUGCAGUUUUAGGGUUAGAUUUGCAGCUUCCUUUAGGUGUGCAGUUAGGACAUUUUUCUUUUCUUACUCACCUCGGUUGUCGCGCGUUUCAGUCACCUGUCGUAAGUACAUACCAGUUUGCCGUGUGUUGGUUUGCACAGUUGGAAUGGGGUAGGAGAAGUGCUAGUUUUGUUACAUAAGAGGCUUAAGUUAAGUCUCCCUCUUCGUCUCCCCUGAUAUUGAGGCGUGAAAAAGUUGUAUGUGUUUUCGUUUUAUGGUCUUCAACCAUGUAAUCAUAAUUGAUUGUUCCUUUGGCUACUUUCACCAGCUGAAACCCCACCUAUUAUAGGUCCGCCCGACCUCCCUACACAGGCUACAUUGCAGUUUCUGUCUUCCUUACGAUUUUAAGUUUCAUUAUUAUUUGCAAUUUAAGUUGAUCAUGUAUUAAAUCAAAAGUGAUUUGCAAUUUAAGUUGAUCAUGUAUUAAAUCAAAA